AUACGGAGGGUGCGAGCGUUGUGCGGAAUCACUGGGCGUAAAGGGCGCGCAGGCGGUUUGUCAAGUCAGAUGUGAAAGGCCACGGCUCAACCGUGGAGGUGCAUCUGAAACUGGCAGACUUGAGUACAGGAGGGGAAAGUGGAAUUCCUGGUGUAGAGGUGAAAUUCGUAGAUAUCGGGAGGAACACCGGAGGCGAAGGCGACUUUCUGGACGGAUACUGACGCUGAGGCGCGAAAGCGUGGGGAGCAAACAGGAUUAGAAACCCUAGUAGUCC
rnacentral:rRNA from 1 species